UGCGCCCGUAGCUCAGUUGGAUAGAGCAUCCGCCUUCUAAGCGGACGGUCGCAGGUUCGAAUCCUGCCGGGCGCGCCAU
rnacentral:tRNA from 1 species